rnacentral:rRNA from 1 species
AUGUUCAUGACUUUGAAAAAUGAUUGUGAAUUAUUCAUAAAUGUUAAAAAAAUCAUAAAAUAUUUAGGAAUUUUGAAAAUAAUUUCAUCCUUAAAAAAUCGCUGGUUUAAAAAUAUUCAUGAUUUCGAUACAUGUUCCUGCAUUUCAAAAAAUCUUCGUAAAAAUAUAUUUUUGAAUUCUAAAAAUUAUUCCCAAAUUUCAAAUAAAGUUCGUCGAUUCAAACAAAUGAUCACAAUUUUGGAAAUAUGUUUGCGAAUUAGUAAAAAUAUAUUUGCAAUUUUAGAAAAUGUUCACAAUUUCACAAGAUGUUCGUGA